ensembl:lncRNA
ACUGAGGAGCUGCGAGCAGCGGCCGAAUUUCGUGAGCGAUUCGCUUCUCGGCGCUUCCGCGGCCGGUGUGUCCCCGGCGUUAAACGCCGGCUUUCAGCCACGCCCCCUGCUGCUUCCGUCUGCUCUCGUCUGUGUUCCAGGCGAGGCGCUGCUCAACUCGAACACGGCCAUUCUCUGCGCCUCCCGUCUUCUUUAAACCGCCAAGAAUCAUUCCACCUACGCACACGCUUCUCUGCUUCAUACCGUUUCGAACUGUCUCGCUUCUCCUCACCAGUUUUAAAGCGUUUUGCCGGAGAUUUCAUCAAGAAAUCCCAUCCCUGUGGUGGCGCGAUCUUCCUGCGUGCUUGUGUGUUUCUAGCGUGGUUCCACUUCGUCUUUAAUAGUGAACUUAUAGUUCACGUGACUAUAACUAGAAUCGUGCAGUACGUGCACGAAUCGUACAAGUGCAGUACGUGGCUAGAGGCGCGCAGGUUCACGCGCGCGAAACAAAAACGGCGGCUUUCUACAGGGCGGGGCCAUGAUGUAGGUGAAAGCCGGUGUGUAAAUGACAAAUAAGGCUUGGGCGCCACCCGGGCGGUAAGUCGUCAAGUAUUUACCGCCCAACGAGAAAAUUUAGUGCCAUUGGCGCUCGGGCGCUUUAAAGGUCCACCCCUGCUCUGUGUUACUCCCCGUCCUUCUCCAUAUCCACCAAUAGAGGACGUAACACAGAGGCAUGUGUUUCAGUUGUGGAAAUUGUAAACAUGGAUUUAUUAAAAGGAUUUUAAAAUGACAAAAAGCUCCAAAUCUAAAAGUACUUAAACACAUUGUUAAAAUGGCCAAGGGUUUACGUUUAAAACAGACAUCGAAUGCUCCCAAACAUUCACAAAACAAAGUCCACUGACUUAAACACAAGUUUGGGAGCCAAGAGGUAACCAGCACUCUGGUCCCUCGUCUGUUAAAAACCUCUAAAAGCUCUUAAGCUUCACUAAGCUUAAAGAACUAAAAGCCAUUAAAACACAAACAAAUGGAGCACAUGAGAGAACUGGCACAGAUCCAGUCUCUCCCUUACUCCUGGCAGCUCUCCCUUUUAUGCUGCUCAGGAGGUGAUCAGCCCAAGUGAGUGCAGCUGUGCAGGUAGGAGGAGGAGGCGAUGCACUGAUUGUCCUCUGCAGUGUUAGCCUGGCAAGCCAGACUAAAUAAAUGUAUUAUUUAGUCUGGCCAUGCUCCAUUGACGGCUCUCGGUUGUGGGGCGGGUUCUACCGUUGUCUUUCAAAUUAUCUCCGCAUUCCACUGGACAAUGAAUGUGACAUACUCUUGUUUCACUCUGUUGCAUCAUCCCACCCACCAGGCAUAUAGAGUGCCCUGAUUGGCCCACAAAGCGGAUAAAGCUCUGUGAUUUGUUCACUAAGCAGAUAGAGCACUAUGAUUGGCCCACCAUUAUGGACCAAUCACAGCUCUUUAUGUGUUUGAAACCCCUCUAGAGAGCUGUGAUUGGCUAGCCAGAGUCCUGGUAGGAGCUGCUGAGGUUCCAAUGGAGCAUGCCUAGACCAUUCUUUGCAAAGCAAGAAUUUGGUCUAGUUCACUAGGCUANNNNNNNNGCUCCAUUGACGGCUCUCGGUUGUGGGGCGGGUUCUACCGUUGUCUUUCAAAUGAUCUCCGCAUUCCACUGGACAAUGAAUGUGACAUACUCUUGUUUCACUCUGUUGCAUCAUCCCACCCACCAGGCAUAUAGAGUGCCCUGAUUGGCCCACAAAGCGGAUAAAGCUCUGUGAUUUGUUCACUAAGCAGAUAGAGCACUAUGAUUGGCCCACCAUUAUGGACCAAUCACAGCUCUUUAUGUGUUUGAAACCCCUCUAGAGAGCUGUGAUUGGCUAGCCAGAGUCCUGGUAGGAGCUGCUGAGGUUCCAAUGGAGCAUGCCUAGACCAUUCUUUGCAAAGCAAGAAUUUGGUCUAGUUCACUAGGCUACUGCAGUGUCUGUUUUCUGAGGUAAACAGCAACAUCUGUAACACUGAUCACGUGACGUGUGACGUACGCGGAUGAAGAUCGGCUUUAGAGCUGGGAUGUUUGUUCUCACGGUGCGGGGGCUCGUUCCGACGCCCACACAGUAAAAAAAUGCCAAUGACAGUUAGAGUUGUUAAAGUGCUGAAAGGAAGUAGGGCUGAAACGAGUCAUCAAAUGGUUCGAUUCAUUUAGUUCCUCGAUUCAUUUUUUUACUGAUUUGAAGCUUCGUUAAACGUGCGCUCCACAGUCUGAACACAUUUUACUGGAGCUCUACGUGGUGAUCUCGGUGCUGUGGCGGAAAUAAGAGAAACCAGCAACGACAGAAACCAUUGUUAGAGGCAGAAACGGUCCAACGUUUGGAUCAAGAGCAGGGAUUAAAGUUCUCUGUCGUGGCGACGGAAAUCCGUCAGUUGGAAUGAUCAGAAAAAAGUUCUGUCAAAAUCUCUCUCUCGCUCACUCUCUUCUGUUGCUAACUAGAACUCACACCGGUGUUAAAAUGCGUUUCUCCCAUCGACAUAUAUACAUACAUGUAUAUGUGGUUUCUCCACCAUUCUGCACCGCCCAAGCAGUGUUGCCAACUGUUUUUGACUAAAAGUAGCUGAAGUUCCCCCCAAAAGUCGCUAGAUGUCGCCAGAUGAUGUCACGUGCUAAUUUGCAUACGACGCAAUGACGUCAUCUGGUUUGUGUGAUGACGACACCACGUUUGCGUCAUGACGUCACCGGUCUUGUAGAGUAAAUCAAAUAAAACCCACGUGAUUUUAUUAAAAAAUAAUUUUAUUUAUUUUUUAAUAUUUUAUUAAAAUAAAAAACCCCAUAGAAUACAAAACAGCAGCCUUUAAAACAUCAAGGAGAGAUGGCACAAAAAAUGGAAGGAAUAUUUCUAUUUUGUCUGAAGAGAAUGGAACUCGUAAACACAAAAAUAUUAAAUUGAUAGGAAUGCAUGUUUGACUGAAUUAAAAUGAAUUUUCUCUUGUAAUCUUCACUUGUCUCCUGAUUCGAGUCGAUUACGAUUAUUGGGUCAAUGAUUCAAUUUGAUUCGAUAUCCCGAUGCAUCACGAUUAUUUCAUAUUGAUUUGUUUUUAUCGAUAAAUAGAAGAUGCCAGAUAAUUGCUUCUUAUUUUUAGUUUAUAUCAAAAAUGUAAUUGACACAACCUGCCAUCCCUCAAAAGCUCUCCAUUAACAACAGGUUAGGACAAAACUUUUUAAACAUUUAAGAAGAUUUAACAAAGUAAAACAAUCUGUUUCCUGGUUCAACACCACGCCUCAGCCUGAGAAAAACACGCUUUGCAAAAACUCACAAAAUCUAAAAAAGUACUGAAAACCUGCAGGACACAUAAUGUAAUAAUAAAAUACAUCAUGGGUUCAUAUAUGAGUGUUUAAUGU